GAUGAACGCUGGCGGCGUGCCUAAUACAUGCAAGUCGAACGCAUAGCGAAAGGUGCUUGCACCUUUCAAGUGAGUGGCGAACGGGUGAGUAACACGAGGACAACCUGCCCCAAGGCUGGGGAUAACAUUUGGAAACAGAUGCUAAUACCGAAUAAAACUUAGUGGCGCAUGACACAAAGUUAAAAGGCGCUUCGGCGUCACCUAGAGAUGGAUCCGCGGUGCAUUAGUUAGUUGGUGGGGUAAAGGCCUACCAAGACAAUGAUGCAUAGCCGAGUUGAGAGACUGAUCGGCCACAUUGGGACUGAGACACGGCCCAGACUCCUACGGGAGGCUGCAGUAGGGAAUCUUCCACAAUGGGCGAAAGCCUGAUGCAGCAACGCCGCGUGUGUGAUGAAGGCUUUCGGGUCGUAAAGCACUGUUGUAUGGGAAGAACAGCUGGAAUAGGAAAUGAUUUUAGUUUGACGGUACCAUACCAGAAAGGGACGGCUAACUACGUG
rnacentral:rRNA from 1 species